UACGGAGGGGGCUAGCGUCGUUCGGAAUUACUGGGCGUAAAGCGCACGUAGGCGGCUUGGUAAGUCAGAGGUGAAAGCCCGGGGCUCAACCCCGGAACUGCCUUUGAGACUGCUUCGCUUGAACACGGAAGAGGUGAGUGGAAUUCCGAGUGUAGAGGUGAAAUUCGUAGAUAUUCGGAAGAACACCAGUGGCGAAGGCGGCUCACUGGUCCGUUGUUGACGCUGAGGUGCGAAAGCGUGGGGAGCAAACAGG
rnacentral:rRNA from 1 species